rnacentral:rRNA from 1 species
GUGUGCCUAUAAGGGCGUAUGGUGGAUGCCUUGGCAGACAGUACCGAUGAAGGACGUGUGGGGCUGCGAUAAGCCUCGGGGAGCCGCCGACAGGGCUUUGAUCCGAGGAUGUCCGAAUGGGGAAACCCGCCGGUUGUUAUGGGCCGGCACCAGUUUUACUGGAGGGUACGCAGGGAAGUGAAACAUCUCAGUACCUGCAGGAAAGGAUACUCCGUGAGUAGUGGCGAGCGAAAGCGGAUCAGGCUAAACCAUGUGCGUGUGAUACCCGUCGGGGGUUGCGUAUGUGGUGUCGUGGGAGCGAUUGUUCGAAUGCCGACGUGUUCGACGCUAGUUGUAGAAAAUCAUGUGUGAAGCGAACCGGGUUGGAUACCGGGCCGUAGAGGGUGAUGGCCCCGUAGCUGAAGGCGCAUGGUCUAGCGAUAUUGUUUCCCGAGUAGCGCGGGCCUCGUGGAAUCCCGUGUGAAUCUGCCCAGACCGUUGGGUAAGCCUAAGUACACCUGUCUGACCGAUAGCGUACUAGUACCGUGAGGGAAAGGUGAAAAGCACCCCGGGAGGGGAGUGAAACAGUUCCUGAAACCGUGCGCUUACGAACCGUCGGAGCCUUUCGGGGUGACGGCGUGCCUAUCGAAAAAUGAGUCUGCGAGUCAGUGGCAUGUGGCGAGCUUAAGCCUUGUGGUGGAAGCGUAGCGAAAGCGAGUCUUAAAAGGCGUUUUUGAGUCGCAUGUCCUGGACCCGAAGCGGGAUGAUCUAGCCCUGAGCAGGUUGAAGCGCGGGUAAGACCGCGUGGAGGACCGCACCCACUUAGGUUGAAAACUGAGGGGAUGACUUGGGGUUAGGGGUGAAAGGCCAAUCAAAUUCCGUGAUAGCUGGUUCUCUCCGAAAUGCAUUUAGGUGCAGCGUUGGUUGAUUGCAUACAGGGGGUAGAGCUACUGGAUGCUUGCGGGCCCGUAUUGGGUACCAAUAGCAGCCAAACUCCGAAUACCUGGUAUGUGUAUUCCAGCAGUGAGUCGGCGGGGGAUAAGCUCCGUCGUCGAGAGGGAGACAGCCCAGAUCGUCGUCUAAGGUCCCUAAGCGCGUGCUAAGUGGGAAAGGAUGUGGAGUCGCAUAGACAGCCAGGAGGUUGGCUCAGAAGCAGCCAUCCUUGAAAGAGUGCGUAACAGCUCACUGGUCUAGUGGUUCCGCGCCGACAAUGUAGCGGGGCUCAAGCACGUCACCGAAGACGCGGCAACACGUUUUUUACGUGUUGGGUAGGAGAGCGUCCUGUGUGGGUUGAAGCUGUGGAGUAAUCUAUGGUGGACUGCAUGGGAGUGAGAAUGCAGACAUGAGUAGCGAAAGCGGGGUGAAGAUCCCCGCCGCUGGAUGACUAAGGGUUCCAGGGCCACGUUCAUCGUCCCUGGGUGAGUCGGGUCCUAAGGCGAGGCCGACAGGCGUAGUCGAAUGGAUGAACGGGUUGAUAUUCCCGUACCGGCGUAAGACCGUCCAAGACUUGCUUGCUGUUGAGCAGGCUUCCUGAACCGGAUGCCUUCCUUUCGGGGUUGGUUGAUGGUGUGGGUCGUUUGUGAGAUGCUUGUAGGUCAGCACAGGAGUGACGCGGAUCGGUAGCCUACUGCGGAGGUGGUUUUCCGUGGCCAAGCAUGUGGCCUGUUUCCUAGGUAAAUCCGGGGAACGUAUAAGGUGAGAUGUGAUGGUGGAUGCUUUUCAGCAUGAUAUUAGGUGAUCCGGUCGGCCGAGAAAAGCUUCGGUGUGAGGGCUUACUGCCGCUCGUACCCUAAACCGACACAGGUGGUCAGGUAGAGUAUACCAAAGCGAUCGAGUGAAUCCUGGUCAAGGAACUCGGCAAAUUACUCCCGUGCCUUCGGCAUAAGGGAGACCCUUUGAUGUGAGACAUCUUGCGUGUUCGAAGCGUUGAGGGGUGGCACAAGCCAGGGGGUAGCGACUGUUUACCAAAAACACAGGUGCAUGCGAAGACGCAAGUCGCUGUAUAUGCACUGACGCCUGCCCGGUGCCGGAAGGUUAAGAGGAUCCGUUAACUUCGGUGAAGCGGUGAAUUCAAGCCCCGGUAAACGGCGGUGGUAACUAUAACCAUCCUAAGGUAGCGAAAUUCCUUGUCGGGUAAGUUCCGACCUGCACGAAUGGCGUAACGACUUCCCCACUGUCUCGACCAGGAACUCGGCGAAAUUGCAGUACGAGUAAAGAUGCUCGUUAAGCGCAGAAGGACGAAAAGACCCCGGGACCUUUACUAUACCUUGGUAUUGGUAUCAGAUGCGGAUUGUGUAGCAUAGGCGGGAGGCUGUGAAGCAAUGGCGCCAGCUAUUGUGGAGUCGACAAGUGAAAUACCGCUCUGUCCCCAUCUGAUGCCUAACCUCGAGCAGUUAUCCUGCUCAGGGACAGUGCCUGGCGGGUAGUUUAACUGGGGCGGUUGCCUCCUAAAGAGUAACGGAGGCGCUCAAAGGUUCCCUCAGCCCGGUUGGCAAUCGGGUGUUGAGUGUAAUCGCACAAGGGAGCUUGACUGUGAGAGCGACGGCUCGAGCAGGGACGAAAGUCGGAGAUAGUGAUCCGGUGCCGGCGUACGGACGUGGCAUCGCUCAACGGAUAAAAGGUACCCCGGGGAUAACAGGCUGAUCAUUCCCAAGAGUCCAUAUCGACGGGAUGGUUUGGCACCUCGAUGUCGGCUCGUCGCAUCCUGGGGCUGGAGCAGGUCCCAAGGGUUCGGCUGUUCGCCGAUUAAAGCGGCACGCGAGCUGGGUUCAGAACGUCGUGAGACAGUUUGGUCUCUAUCCUCUGCGCUCGUUGGAAUCUUGAGGAGACCUGCCCAUAGUACGAGAGGACCUGGGUGGACGAACCUCUGGUAUGCCAGUUGUCCCGCCAGGGGCAUGGCUGGUUAGCUACGUUCGGAAGGGAUAACCGCUGAAAGCAUCUAAGCGGGAAGCCUGCUCCAAGAUAAGGAUUCCUAACACUCCUUUGAGAGUGUGAGAGGCCCCAUAUAGACCAUGUGGUAGAUAGACCGGAUGUGGAAGCCCUGUAAGGGGUGGAGCUGACCGGCACUAACGGCCAAAAGCACACAAUAUA